UUUCCCUCGGUUUUCCCAGGCAUUUCCGGUUCCGCUACCUGGGUCUCCUCUGUGCGCUCCUUACCCGCAGACCUGAGGAAGUGGAACGUUAGCGUGACCGCGGAGGGAGGGGCGUAAUGUUUCAGGGAAGAAGGAGAGCAAGUAGAUGAGGAGAAUCCGGUACCCGAAGAGUAUCGGUACUGAAAUGUGGGUUCAGCCGGCAUUGUCCCAUGGGUCGUAAACUUCGGUCGAGCCGGGGAGGAAACAUUGCAGCCAAUUAAGAUGCUAUAUAGAAGUUUUUGAUAGCAUGGGGAAAUGUUUCCAAUAUUAAUUGACCAUAGUUUCCAGCCCUGGGUGUUCACUGGAAG